UACAGAGGUCCCGAGCGUUGUUCGGAUUUAUUGGGCGUAAAGGGUGCGUAGGCGGCGGAGUAAGUUGGGUGUGAAAUCCCCGGGCUUAACCUGGGAAUGGCAUUUGGGACUGCAAGGCUUGAGUGCGGCAGAGGAGACUGGAAUUCCUGGUGUAGCAGUGAAAUGCGUAGAUAUCAGGAGGAACACCGAUGGCGAAGGCAGGUCUCUGGGCUGACACUGACGCUCAUGCACGAAAGCGUGGGGAGCAAACAGG
rnacentral:rRNA from 1 species